AUGGUUGCCAUGUGCCUUCUUCUCCAGCUUCUGCCACUAGGUUCUGGGGUGAAACAGCCCCCCGACGUGCUCGUGGCUGAGGGCCUGAAUACGACCCUGCGCUGCUCCCAGAUCAGCACCUCCUACAACAGCAUGCUCUGGUACCUCCAGAGACACGGCCAGAAGCACCUCACUCUAAUAGUCCACGCAUACGUCAACAUGGUGACUGUGAGUGAGGGGUUGGAGGUCAGAUACUCAGCCACACGACACGGGACUGCACUGGAUCUCACUGUGACAACGGCCAACAGCUCAGUCACCGGGGUCUACUUCUGUGUCAAACAGGAAGCACAGUGGUAG